rnacentral:rRNA from 1 species
GUCUGUCGAUGCACUAGGUUAGGUUCGGCACGUAGUGUGCUUGGCUGAGGUAGUAGCUGUUAGGGUAGUUGGUAGGGUGGAAAAUAUAUGCGGAAAGGGGAGCUAGCGGGGCAAGAGAGGACGAGGGUAGCGGCCAGCGUCGGAGCAGAAGCAAAGCAGCAGUGUUAGCGCACUCCUAGAACACAGUAGCCUUCUCCACCAAGGAUACCACGGAGAGGACAUCUACAGAUAGGGAACUGGGUUCAAGCAGACUCCAAAAGACCGCUAGGUGAACACUGCGGACUUAGUCAACUACGCGGUCUAGGCAGUCAAAUACAACAUAGGCCCGUGCGGCAGCCAAGUAGAAGUGGAAGACUAACUUCUUCCGACGAACGACGACAUGUGUUCCGCGGGCUCUAGUAGGCUAAAUACCAAGUACAAGUGCCAAGGAAAUCGAAUGUUCUACUACGAACGGACAGAGGUUUGUAGUGUCUUUCCCCCACCCCGGCCCAAAAUAAAAGAAGGUUAGUUUAGUUCGGUGCAUCCGCCCUCGUGCCUACCCUCGUACCCUUCCCUCGUCCGUUCAGAGUAGGGUAGAAUUCACGUGGCGCUAGGAAGUAUGGUUUAUAUAGCUGUCCACGUCGCUAUUGAUGCAUGACUUCUAGUUACUAUUGACGUAUCAGUUCUAGUUACUAUUGAUGUUUGGUUCUAUACCGCAAGUACCAAGGAAAACGACUGUUUUACUACGAACGCACACAGGUUUGUAACGUCUUUCCAUUGACACAACCAUUCGUCUAACUACGCGUACACAACAUAAUGAACAACAUGAUGUAAACAUCCAUCCUGCCAGAAACGGUACAGCCCACAUGAGCGAACCGUCCGGUACUCUGUUAUUUUGAAUAUAAAACAACCAGAAACGCCCCACCUCUAGCGCGCCCCUUGAUAGUUAAACAAAAUAAAACGGACCCAAGAGGUGGAACAGUACCACAGAGACAGGAACGGGACACAACAACUAAGGUGUUCUACGAGAAUUUAACGUGGUGCUAGGAUGUAUCAUUUACAUAGCUGUCCGGACCCACGCCGCUAUUGAUGCAUGACUUCUGUUUGCUUCCAUGUAGAUUGACGAAGAUAGCCCGUUCGCGAAGCGAUGUAGUUAAAUUUAAACGUAUACGUGCAGUAGGGUUGAGAAGCAGUUACUUGUCGGAAUAAAACCGAACUAUACUCUAGAUAGUAUGUACAUUUAUAAAAAGAGAACGUGGGGUGCUCUCUAGUAGUCGUAAGAACAAGUUACAAUGUUACAGAAGAAAAUCUUUUUUCGACAAACGUCCGAAAAGCUCUUCGAAAUAAAAGAGACGUUUAAAAAAUAACAUGUUACCAUGGUCGAAACAUGGAAACAGUAUUAAGUUGAUAAAGGACAAUCAAGAGUACUACACACGUGUCCACUCAAGGUAAACAAGAUGAUGCACCACAUGUAUAAAUAAUAGUCAAGACAUUUAUGGUAACUUCCUGAGCACAAGGGGAGGAACAAACUCCUGAACUCGAACAGGUCUACAAGAAGUAGUAUGAAGGAGAGCUAGUAUUCAACCUAAGGUCAACUCCAAAUGAAGUCCUACCCUUGCCCGGCCCAGUUGGGCGACCCAGUGACUGGGCCGGGUUUUUAAGUACCGGUUACCCGGUUCACCCAACCGGAGUUAACUAUAUACCCAGUCACCUCAGCCUGGACACGCCGGGCUACCCAGUCUACCCAGCUGGGUCAGGGGGCUGGUAGAGACGACAGCGACCGGCGGGGGAGCUGAGCAGCACAUGAAAGAUUUUUUUAGCUACUACACGAGUGCACGUCUACCUAAUGAAUUGGCCUUCUGUGCAUGCAUUCUUCGACUCGUUUGACCUAGCUAACAACCUCUGCGGGGACAUGUGUUCGUCCGUCCACCUAACUAAAAGUGCACUUGAUCAUGUACGUGCUCUUUGUUGGUCGCCGAACAAGUUUGCCGUGGGGGUUCGUAGAGACGACGGCGGCCGCAAGCAGGGCGAGCACGGAGAGCAAGCAGCAGAGCCAGCGGCAGCUCGAGCAGUAGGACCAGCGAAAGGAGAAGGAAAAGUUGAACAGGUCGAGCGGCACCGGAAGGGCCAGAAGUCUAACACGAUUGAUUUAAGUACCUAAAAGAGUAGAACUAAAACCCAGCCGGAGUAUAUGGGUUGCCCAGUCGCUCCGGUAUUAAAAGACUACUUUACCCGGCUGGGUACCGGAGCGUAUGACUGGAACCCCGGUACCCCGGCCCAGGUUCCGGUCCCGGCCCAGCCGGGUAAGGGUAGAACUCCAAAUGACCUACAGAUCGAGCAGUAUAGUCUAAAAAAAAUCACACUUACGGUAAAAACGAGCCGUUACAGAAACGACUUUGGACAUCCUUCUCGAAAUAAGCCCUUCCCGGCCAAAGCGUAAGGUACGAACAAGCAGACCAAUAUACAUUAGAAUGUAAACGUACGUUAAGGAUCGGUACGUAUAUACCGUAACAGUCUCCAUGCGUCAGAAACUGAACAACACGACCUCGAAGGCACAAAUCCACGUUGUCAACGAAGAGGUCGCUCCUUUGGACCAAGCAAUCCGUUAAACUCGAGCGGCUAAAGGCAUAAAUGUCUUAGAUCGUAGUCUUUUCAAGAAACAUCCAAAAAAAAAGAAGUUUUGAUAGAAUUAUUUAAUACUAAGCACUAAGAUAUUUUUUUUUACGUGUUAUUAUAGAGAUUUAAACCUUCAAGCCUAGUAAGGAACGAUCAUAAGAGUAAAAAUACGGAAGCAAACACUAGUCGUUUAAUUUGAAAUCGUUCGUCUGACACCAUAAGUUUAACCUACACUAUCAUAAAACAGUUGAAUGCUAUAGAUGUCGACCAAACCAGGCUAAUUAUAUUUUAUUUACUUAUUUAGCACCUAGAAUUCGAGACUUGACCUUUCUCGUGAGGUCGUUUGUUUAAGUGAUGGCCUUUGACCGGGAUGGGGCUGCCGGUUUAGUUACGGCUGCCGACGGCAGCCGGAUGAAACGCGAUACGGCUGUCGGUGCAGAACCGGCAGCCGCAUGGAACCGGCAGCCCGAUGGUGCUCGAUUCGGCUGCCGUGGGCAGCCGUAUGUAUACAGCAGCCGGGUCGACGCUUGUACCGCUGUCGUCGGCAGCCGUAUUGGUCCGGCAGCCGUAUGGGCACCCGGGCCGCUGGGGCGGGCACUGGUCGCCGAUUGCAGCAGUUUAGAUACGGCUGCCGGACCUGCCGGCCGGCAGCCGUAUAUAGCAGUACGGUGCAGUGUCUAGGCGCCGCGUGGCAGGUACUCGAUUCGGCUGCCGACGGCAGCCGUAUGUACGGUGCAGUCGCUAGGCGCCGUGCGGCGGGCGGCGGAUUUUGGACCG